GCGAGAAUACCCGGCGAAUUUAAGCAUAUUACUAACCGGAGGAAAAGAAACCAACAGGGACGUCCUCAGUAGCGGCGAGCGAAGCGGACGAUGCCCAAACCGAACCGCGGUUCCCGAGGGGGCCGCGGAGUGUGGAGAGGAUGAGCUCGCGAGGGGGCGGGACGGGUUCCAAUCCGUCUGGAAGGGCGGAGGCACGGAGGGCGAUUCCCCGUACGUGCUCGGUCCGUCCCCGACGAGCGAACGCAUCGGAGAGUCGGGCCGCUUGAGAGUGCAGCCCGAAUGGGGUGAUAGGUCUCAUCCAAGGCUAAGUACGUGGGAGACGCCGAUAGCGAACAAGUACGGCGACGGAAAGGUGAAAAGAACCUCGAAAGGGGGUCAAAAGCGCUCGAAAUCGUAGAGGGGGAAGCGGGACCUGACCGACGAGACCUCGUCGUCGCUCGCGCUCGACCCACGCUUCGUCGCGGAGUUCCGGA
rnacentral:rRNA from 1 species